GCAGAACAUGUGCAGAGUCAGGGAAGCAGCUUAAAGCAAAGGGAGGAUGGUGGUGGGGACAAACCCACCUGCACGGACCACACCAAUCCGUCUGCUGGUUGAGGCCAAAGCGAGCACGGCAUUUCUUAGGCGAGCCAGGGUCUGCUCACAGCCAUGCCAGAGGGGCAGAGCAGGGCAGAGGGCGAGCAGGCAGGCAGCAGGGCAGAGCAGGGCCCAGAAAGAAGAGGGAACAUCAGUGUCAGCCAGUCACAGAUACCCCGUAGGCCCCUUAGGCAGAGGGCCUCUCCAUGGCACAGCCAGCCCCCAUGGGAGCCCCAGGACCCAGAGCCAGGUUAUCAGGAAAGGUGGGCAGCACCUAGCUAGGCAGGAGAGGCAGUGGGAAGAACAGUGGCAGGAGGGAGGGGAAUCCUAUCAGGUUAGCUCCUCUUUCUGGUUGCAGCACGGGAGCUAUGGGAGAGGGGCCCCGGGGAGGCCCUGAGGGCUGCCCACCCCACACAUUUCCCUGCCCACUUUAUCCAGCUUUUCUUCCUUUUUGCCAGUGCCUACUCUGCCUAACCCCACCCCCACCCCCGUAAGGUGUUUAAGCUGUAGCUUAAACCAGGUGGACAGUUAAGUCCAUACCUCAGAAAAAGGGCUGAGGAUUCUACCCUGCCUCAGUCCUAGCCUUGAGCUUCCCUGUGUGGGGGCAGGAUAGCGUGAGACAGUUGUGGAUGUGGAGUCUGAAUUCGACUAUCAGACUUGGGGCAUGAAUUCACCCAUGGGAAGGAGACUUGAAGCAGUGUGUGGCUUCCUUGAGUCCUCCUUACAGAGCACUCUGCACUGUCAAAAUAAAUGGAUCGGGUAGGGGCGCUGGUGACCGAGUAACAGCCAGGCACCAACUAGCAGGCAGCGUGACUUCUGGCCUAGGCAGGGCUGCACCUCCACCCCCAAAGCCUGCGCGCAGGUCACAGCAGAACAACAGGCUCAGUUUCUGUGGCAGAGGCUAGCGGGGAGCAGGGCUUGCAAAGGUGGGAAGCUGCAGUUAGGCAACACACCAAUGUUACACUAUUACAGGGACUUCCUAUAGCUGUUCCUCACAUGUGGGAUCAGACUUGUGAGAAGUGGGCCUUGUUUCCAGAGGGCCUAAAGGUCUGUGGCUGAAUGUUCUGCCCCUCCCUCUGGGCCAGAGCAGGUGCUCAUGGAUUGCACACUUGGAGAGCAGUCUCCACUGCUGAGAGGAGGCCUCACCUGUGUUGGAUUCCUGGUGCUUUUCCCGAGACCGCCUUUUCUUCUUCCCCUGCAGGGAACAGAGGGACGGAUUCUGCUCAGAUCUGGGAGGUGGUCCUUUGAGAACUCCAGAAUGCUGCAGCUAAGAGAAACAUGUUUAAGGACUUCUCAGCCCCUCCCCUGUUGGUUCAAAACAAUCUUUGUUCCCCACCUUAUCCAUUCCCUCCUGCUUCUAAGGAGUGUACGACUCUUGCUAUUGGGGUUGUGAGUUCACGCCCCACACUGGGUGAAGAGAUUACUUAAAUAAAUAAACUUAAAAAAACAAAA